rnacentral:lncRNA from 1 species
AGGAUCAGAGUAUGCUUGCUGGCUCAUCUGACCAACUAAAUCAGGCAGAGAAUCACUAGCAUGUUCUUCAGGAGGAUCACCGGGAAUCUCAGUCACUUCACAGCUCUCACGAGUUCCGUCGACAUUGAGGUCAAAAAUUUGAUACCAAGCCGGCAGCUCUUCUUCAUCUCUAGUAGGAUCACCAUCAGCAACUUCAAUUUCAAUUUGUGGAGUUUCCUCGACAAGUUCAGAUUCAUGUUCAGUUUGCGGAGCCUCGAUUUCACCUGCCACUUGAAGUUCAGUUCCAAGCUCAAUUUCCAUUUGUGGAGUUUCCUCAACAAGUUCAGGUUCACUUUGCAGAGCCUCCAUUUCACCUGCCACUUGAAGUUCAGUUCCAUGCUCAAUUUCCAUUUGUGGAGUUUCCUCGACAAGUUUAGUUUCAGGUUCACUUUGCAGAGCCUCCAUUUCACCUGCCACUUGAAGUUCAGUUCCA